ensembl:snRNA U5 U5 spliceosomal RNA
UCACAUCAAGAAAAAGCCAGUGUGUAUAAAUCUUUUGCCUUUUACUAAAGAUUUCCAUGGAAAAAGCCAUGUAGCUGUGUGCAUCUAUUUAUUUUUUUGUUUUUUAAAUCAGCAAAUUAAAAU